GUUUCUCUUUGGUAACCAGGCCACUGGCUUGUGCUCCCAGGGCUGCCAAGGCAUCAUGGAUACGGGAACCUUCCCACUGACUAUUCCCCGGCAGUAUUUGGACUCCUUUGUGAAGACAACAGGAGCCCAGCAAGAUCAAAGUGGCAUUGUGAGUAACCAGAAGCCAAGAUUCCUCGCACAGGCAGCCUCAGCACAGGAGCCUGAGUGCAAUGAGUUCAUGAGAGACAGGAGGAAGAAAUGGUAGAGAACUGAGCCCCUGGUCAGAUAGAACAGGUGAGGACACAUCAUGGCCUUUAAUCAUAAACCCUCAAUGCAAGAAUGGGUAUGGGGAGGGAAUAAUACCAACUCUAUACUGUGAAUAUGGGCUGAAUGGUUGUCAGGAGGGGUGGCUAUUCCUGGGCAGGCCUCAGGAACACAUCUAACCUUGAUGUGGCCACUGUCAUUUGACUAUAUGUAACAGAGCCAGGCAUAUUCCAUUUGUCCAUUCCACUUGGGUUUCUUUCUUGUCUAGGAGUACUCCUUUGGCUUUUACUCUGAGCAACCUCCUGUGCCUACUCCAGUCCCCCUUAUACACACUUCUGUAGUUUGCCCUUCCUGCAUACAAGAGUCUAGUUUAGUCAUACUAAAUCUUGGUUCUUCACGGUGUGUGUGUGUGUGUGUGUGUGUGUGUGUGUGUGUGUAGUACAUUGACAGAUGCACACAAGCAUGGGUGAGAAUUUGCAAAAGAACACUUCUACAAGAUGUGCCCAUGCUUCUCUGUAAGUGUUACAUUCUGGCAGUAGAAAUGUGUGUUCUGAAAUGAGCCUAACUCAUUAUGGCCAUAUAAAUACAACCAAAAUCUCAGAGCUGAGAUGUGUCCAAGGAGGCUCAGGAAAGCAUAAACAUCUGGUCAGUGUUUGUGCCUGUGAAUUGGGUUUUGCCUUCCAUGCUCUCAACCAACCUCUGCUGGAAGGUCAGGAAAAUAGUCUCACUGGGAAAGGGGAACUUAGGCCCCUUGUCUGGGCCCUCAGUCCCCUGGCACUCUACAGUUCUGCUUUUCUUCUCCUUCAGUUUGUGGUCAACUGCAACUCCAUACAGAGCAUGCCCACCAUCACCUUUGUCAUCAGCGGGUCACCUUUACCUCUGCCUCCAUCUAUCUAUAUGUUCUCAACAACAAUGGCUACUGCACACUUGGGAUUGAAGUCACUAACCUGCCCUCCCCAAUGGGCAGCCCCUGUGGAUUCUGGGACAUGUCUUCCUCAGGGAAUAUUACGGUCUAUGAUAUGGCUGUCAGCAGGAUAG
rnacentral:lncRNA from 12 species